rnacentral:snRNA from 1 species
GUGCUUGCUUUGGCAGCACAUAUACUAAAAUUGGAACCAUACAGAGAAGAUUAGCGUGACCCUUGUGCAAGGAUGGCACACAAAUUCGUGAAGCGUUCCAUGUUUUU